rnacentral:tRNA from 1 species
AGGGAUGUGGCUCAGUGGUAGAGUGCUUGCCUAGCAUGUGGGAGGCCGUGGGUUCAAUUCCCAGCACUA